rnacentral:rRNA from 1 species
AUUGAACGCUGGCGGCAGGCCUAACACAUGCAAGUCGAGCGAGCGGCGGACGGGUGAGUAAUGUAUGGGGACUGCCCGAUAGAGGGGGAUAACUACUGGAAACGGUGGCUAAUACCGCAUACUAUCGGAUAACCCAUAUGGGAUUAGAUAGUAGGUGGGGAAAAGGCUCACCUAGGCGACGAUCUCUAGCUGGUCUGAGAGGAUGAUCAGCCACACUGGUAGUAAGACACGGCCCCGACUCCUACGGAGGCAGCAGGGAGGAUGUUUGCACAAUGGGCGCAAGCCUGAUGCAUCCAUGCCGCGUGUAUGAAGAAGGCCAUAGGGUUUUAAAGUACUAUCAGCGUAGAGGCGUUACCCGCAGAAGAAGCACCGGCUAACUCCGUGCCAGCAGCCGCGGUAAUUC